UAUUUACAAUUUUUUUUAAAUGGAAACACAUUUCCUCUUUACGUCCAACUCAGUGCACACAAAAUAAAACUUGAUCACUGAUGUAUAAGCUUGGCUCCAAAUUAUGCAAUUUGUUCUGUAUAAGCAGUUUAAAAAUAAUAGAUUAAUGACCUAGAUUAUUGUUAAGUUAUAAAAGAUAAUAUUCUAAAUAUGUAUCAUUCC
rnacentral:lncRNA from 1 species